UAAUUCGCGUGACAUGUCAAUCGAUGGUUAGCCAAGAGCUAACUUGUUGUUUGCUGGUGGAAAUGGCUGUAUUAGCUGAUUAAAUUUGAGGGGCAUUUUCGCCAACUAGCUAAACCUAGCUAAACUAUAUUCACGACGACCGAUUUGAUUACACAAAAACAGCCAAUUGUGAAUGGGCCCCAUUGCUUAUUGUGAAUGGAAUUAACCUGUCCAUGUAUCGAUAGCCUAUCGAUCGAAAGGUGGUUUUGCUUAGUGCCCUUUUUGUUAUGUUAGAUUUUUGAAUGUUUUAUUAAAAAAGUGCUGUGCAAUUAAUCUUACAACAAGUGCAGGUGCCAGCUGAGCAUUUGAAAUCUAUACUUUUAUUUUUGUUUAGGCUGUAAGUGGACCCAUGCGCUGGUGUUUUAUAUUUGAUUUGAUUGAUUUGAAUGAUUUGAUAUUCCCGCCCAAAUUGUGAAUGCACCUCCAAUCGCAUACCCAGUAUCGAUACCGUGUCGAUAUGUGUUGAUCAGCUGCCGCUAAAAAGUUGUGUUCCCGCGGUUUUUUACUAAUUAUUGGAGAAUUUUAAGUUUAAUUGGUGUGAAAGCUAAGUUUAAUGAGUUUAAUAUGAAUUGCAAGUCUUUGUCAAGCAGUGAGUGUUUUUUGUUUUGUGCAAAUCCAAGAAAAACCUGUAUAUAGCGACGCAGAUUCAUAGAUGCAUGUGCUCUGUUGAGGACUACUCCUGAAAGGUAGGAGAGACGCUGAAACUUCCCAUUAACUCAGAGGCGGGAAUGCUACCAAUUAGCAGACGUAGUACCCAGUCCUGGCCCUGGCUCUGGCCCUAACAAAAAAAGGAAACAAUAUGUUCGGCUGAGCUGAAACAACUGCAGGCAGAAAUCUAAAUCCCGGUCAGGACAGUAGCAGGAGCAGGCACAGGGGUAGGCAAUGGCCAUGGCAUUCCGGAUGUGCCUGUUGGUCGUCGAAACUAGCGAACUUUCCAGACAGAACAAUACCAUGCCCCCGUCGACGAGUGUUGGCUGGAAUUUUAGGUCUAAAUCCUGUUGGGUCAUAAAAAGUGCUUAUUACAUUAUCACCUCAAGCGUGGCUGAGCCGGCUAUGUGCUCUGCCCCACCCACACCCACUCCCGGACCAGCACAGCACACAAACAGACAUUGACUUGUCCGCCCUUUCCUUUCCUCACAAAAACCGAUUCACUUGCUCUCUGGUACUGAUUUUUGUUGGGGUUUUGGCUUUAUUAUGGCUCUGGCAGCUGCGUUUUUCAAUUUUCGCUUUUUUUCGGCCUCUGGGCCUCUCACCUGAGAGCUCUGAGCCUUGAGCCGAUUUGGUUCGGUUUGAGAGUGAGUUUGGUUUUGAGUUUGGGUUUGGGCUCGGAUAGCUGCUGGCAGCCGUAGUCACUUAUUGGCAAAUGUUUCGCAGCCAAAAAGAAGGAAGGACCACGUGGCGAUGGAGGAGUAGGUGGAGGACCAGGAGCAGCCCGUGCAGGAGCUGGAGCGGAAAUGCGAAAAAUGUGUAAAUUUCGGCUUGCUUUUAUUUCUCGCAUUUUCGCCCCGUGAUGAUGUGUAGGUCGCUGAUCCGCUUUGGCAGCGCACCAAGACUUGCCAGACUUUCGAGGCGGCAUUCGAGUCGCCACCGGAACCCAUUUGAGAACAGUUUCGAGAGAGCACUGGGAGUCCCUGGAUCGAUGGCGACAGGCCGCAGCUGCGGACCAUUUAGAAGACCAUGCCGGAGACGUUUAGUAAAUAUUCAAUCAAUUUAGAUUGACGGCCCCAGUCGAUAUAAUAAAUCACAAGCAAAAUCAAGAAGGUCUCCAUUUCAGGGCUGUGUUUUGUGGAGUCGGACAUGGAGACGAGAUAUGCGUCAUAACAAUAAAAAUUCUGGCAUUUCCCAUUUCCCCGCUGUGCGGCUAAAUAACGAAAAUAAACAAGACAAGUCGACAGGCCAUAAUAUAUCAUGGCCCAAAGGCGCUCGACGAUACACACACACACAGGCACACAUAGCAGAAGAAGGACCAAACUGGAGCAGAUCAAGCAGAAGCAGCGGCUGUAGUCUGUGGCAGGACAUCGAGCGCCGUCGCCCGUAAUGGCUGUCAUGGGGAUGGCUCCCGUUCGGCUUCUGGCCCUGGCCCUAUCUCUGCCUCGUCUGCGUUAACUGAGAAUCAAUGACAUAUCGUCAUGGCAAAUACGCAUGCCCUCGGGGGACGGUGAGGGACAUUGAGCCAUAAAAACCGAGGAAUAAAAUAAUAGCCAGGAUAAUACACCAAGCAUAUGUCAUGUCAAUGAUGCAGCCAUUAGCGACAAAUCCCGCCAGCGAGAGGAGGCUAUAAAUCUGAUCCGAUUACCUGGAGCUAAUUGCCAGACAAACUUCUCUCACUCUCGCUCUCUAGUCUAAGCCCUCGCCAAAUGGGAAGGGGAAGAGUUGCUCUACUGCCGAGUAAGACACUAAAAACCCUCGCCGGAUAUAGCCUGGAGCGAGGGCUCCAACCAGGGCUCCAAGCUACUAGCCACAAUCACACGCACGCACAGGAAGUGGCGAUAGCCAGAGAACCAGCCAACAGGAGCCAAAGCCGGGGAGUAGGGAAGUAGGGGAGCAAGGAGUCCGAGGAGGAUGCCAGAUAAGUGUGCGCGCAAUUUCCGUUUCCGCUUGGCUUGCCGUUAUCCAGCUUUGAUGCUGCGAAAAUCCACUAAGCAACAAUUAAAUCAGAGACUCCAGCGAGCGUGGAAAGCAGCUCAGAGCCAGAGCCACAGCCACAGAGAGGAGAUAAGGCCACAUACCCGAGCAGUGACUCAGACAGAGAGGCGGACCAGCAAGAGAUAUCAGUUCGAGGAUUGGGAAAACAUAGACAGAACAGAGACAAAAGUCGAAGGCCUUCCAGGUAGCCAAAUUCAAAUGAAUCAUGUCCGUGGAGCAGGAAGGAAGAGGCAGAGGCAGGUAUCAUGCAUUAGCUGACUAUUAUCACGGCCCGAAAGAGUUUCCAAACCCCCUUUCCCCAUUCCCUCACCGAACCAUUGAGCACUUUAAACGUUUACGUUUCGGAUUUCGUUGUUUUUUUGUGGAACGAAACCUUAGAACUUAUAAAUAUUUAUGGCGCACAUAAUGCAGCGCGUUGAGCACGGCCAAUAAUUCCUUGGCUUGGACUCGAGUCGAGUCGAGCGGUGCUUACUCCUUGCUAUCGGGACAAGGGACUCGUAACUCGAGCGUGUAUGCAGCUCCGGCUCUGGCUCUGGCUCUGGGUGCAGCGGAGCGAGCAUUUUCCACUGAAGGAUUUAUGCUCGCUGACAUGCAACUUAAAAGCAAGGACAACAAAACGGCUGCAGAUAGCACACACAAACCCACAGACACACACACAUCCCACAUCCUGCUAAGGAGCCAGCGAAGGAGCCAUUUCUCUCCGCACAAGGAUGCGAGUGCGAAGGCGAAUGCUUUUCUUGUGUGUAAGUGCAGUUGGGAACAACAAUUGGGAAAAAUAUGCUGAACGCAAGGAUUAGGAGCAGCAGAAGCAGAGGAAAAGCAGAACAAAUUUAUGUGACUUUUGCAUGCGGCUGCAGCAGGAUGCUGGAAGGAGGCCGCAAGCCUGCAAACUGGCUAGACAUUAGUACAAUUUCCGGUCCAGGCCACAAAAUAUUCAAUAAUAUAUUAAAGAUAUAGCCAGCCAUCCAGCCAGGCCGAAAGAGAUAUCCAACAGACACAGAGAGGAAGAGGCAUGAGGCACGAGGCACGAAUUCGACAACUCAACUGAAGCGUAGCAGGCAGGAUAAAUCUAAAUAAGACGUGCUCGAGGCUACAGCUUGUGGCUUUAGAACCAGAGAUACUCGUACCAGCAGCAGCAGCAGUAGCAGCAGUAUUUGUGCAAUGAAGUGCAAGUGAACUUCAGUCUUAAAGCGACUGAAGAUACUCGUACUCGUACUCGUACUUGCAGGAGCCAGCAAUGUGCCUGCCUUUUGAGGGGGCAGCGAUGCGAACGUGAGAGACAGACUCCAUGACCACAAUGGAGGUGUGUGUUCCGCAGAGCUUUGGGGCGCCGCUACUCACGAGGCUUUCUGCUCAUCUCUAAGGCAUGAGGCAUGAAACAAAACGGAAGCGCCGCCACCCAACAGCAGUCUCUGGUGCGGCAGCGGAUGUGGAUGUGGAAGCACAGACAACGUUUAUGUGGAGUUGCAGAAAAUUGUUCAAUAAAUUUCAACACUCUUAAAUUGGCAAUGCUAUGCAAUGCGAUGCGAUCCAGCCAGUCACUGGAGAGGAAGAGACCCAACCCAGUCGCCAGUUCUCGAUUGGUUUGUCCUGGAUCCACGGGGCCGGGACAGGGGCAAAGGCAGGACAGCCUUAAAGCGUAUGUGACCGGUGAAAAUUGAUAAUCAAUCAAAUGCGGAAAGGCAACGGCGCUGACGGAAUGACGGAACGCAACGCAUCCUCCAUGAAGCCCAAGAGCCAGAGACGACCACUUAAUCACUGUCUGGUUAUCCUUUUUGUUGCACUUGUUUCCUGUAUAUCGUAUCGUAUCCCAUAUGUACAUAUGUUUGUUUGUUUGUGCCUCGGCUUUUAUCAAUUACGCUUUUUGUGGACGACUGGAGGAGUGACAGAGAUGAAUCACAGGAAGCUGCAGCGAGAGAGCCACAGCCCCAGCCACAGCCAUAGCCACAACCCAUUCCCGUUUAUUAAAUCAAUUAACGCUUGAACGAUAAUUACUGAGGCAGAGCUCUGGUGCUCCACCGAAAGACAAGGAAACUGAAUGGGGCUCCCACUCCAAGUACUCCCAAUCCAACAAGCAGUGCAAUUCUGUGGUUUCAUUCCUUCGAUCGAAGGAAACUCCUGUCUUGAUGGAAAAACCGCAACACAAAUUUCAACAACAAUGUACAUUUUCCUACCAAAUGCACAAAUGCAAUUUUCAUGUAUCUGGAUCUAUGUGUUGUUGCUGUUGCUGCUGCUGCUGCCGUGUGUUGCAAUUAAUAAAAUGUCCAAGUAAAUUGUGAGCCACCGCAGCCCGAGAUGUCUUCCGACAUCUGCCCUCGCCACGUGCCACAGGUGUCCCCUGCCGCCCGUGUGUGCCAUUAUGUUGACAUGUGGGCGCCUGCUGCGGUCGACUGUGACUGGAGAAAAGUGCAAGUGCAAUCGACAUUCAACAAUUGAAAGCCACUGGCACUGGCACUGGGUAAACGGCAUUCAAUGCUGUCCCGGCAACCGCAACAACAGGGUGUCUUUGGGGUCAGACCUGCUCGUAUUCAAUUACAAAAGGAUUCCAAAUCAAAGCGAGCGACAUUCAGAGCCAGCAUAAUUCGGCAGUGCAGGCAGGAAAGGAACCCUAAACACCCUCGCUGGUAGGAGAAUUCUCUAAAACAGAGCACCAGUGAUAUGGCCAUUCGCGAAAAGGGUAUGCAACGAGCAGAAUUAUGAAUUCUGCAUAGUUCGGAGCCAAAGACAAACAUCAGACACAAAGGCAGCCCCAGACAGGAGUCAAAUAAUUAAUGGCCAGCAGAGGGGUGUGCAGGAGCAAAGGAGAGAAGGCAAACAAACAAGCCCGAAAAACGAGCAGAAACAAAACCGAAACGAAACUGAACUGAACUGAACCAAAAAAAUCUCAGGAAAGUUCACCUUGGAAGCGCGAACUUUGGAUACCCUUUACGAGGCUUUAAUCCUUUUUAUGGUUUAUGGUUCGAUCCUCCUGCCGUGAGGCAUUUCAUUAUGUUUCAAUGUUUCUUUAAGAGGAUCCCAGGGUGCAUACAUCUUGGAUAAAUCCUCAUUACCCUCUCGUUGAAGGGUACAAAAAUCAGCCAAAAACAGAUUUGCAUGAACACAAAACGUAGACUAAGAGGCAGGACAUUGGGGGGGAACACAUACGAGUAGGUAUGUGUGGGCUGGAUCUGCCAUCCUAUAGCCGUCGUCGGUUGCCUUGGAUGCCGUCAGUAGCUUGUUAUCCACUGUCCUCCCUCUCCCUCCUACUCACCGGGAGAUCAACCUGCCCGUUCCCGUUCGGCUCGUCUAGACUUUAAGUUGGCUAAUAGCCGACACUGAUGCGGCCGUCGCUGUCGCUAUCCGACUGUUCUUUUCCUCCUCCUUCAGCUGCUGCUGGUUGCUAUAUUCCUCUUUUUUUAUUGGACUGUGGACAUCCGUCCGAGUGCUCUUUGGCCACGGAGCAGAGAAUUAGUAGUAAACCGAAUUUACGCUUUUGUAUUACUUAUUUGUUCCAUUAUUUGUACGGAUGUGGUUCCACGGGAUCCACGGAGUCCGAGAAUGGAGCUUUGGCUUUCGCUUUUAUUUGACUUUGGCCUUUUUUGUGACGCUGUUUUUUCUCUUUGGCCCAAAACGAACUCUGCUCUUGAUAAUGAAAAAUAAACGUGGCUUCUGCCUUCUGGCCACACCCCUCUAGCCUCUUUCUCUCUGAGUGGAGUGCCCUUUGUGUGGGUGGGUUGGAAAUCCGUGAGCAUAAAGAUUAUAACACACACAGGACGACAGGACUGACAGAACUGACAGACAGGCGGAGAGCAACAGGAAAAGGACUUAAUUUCGAGAGCUGUUCGAAGAUCCACUCAUGUCCUCGAUAGGAAGUGGACUCAGGAGCGACUCCUCCCAGCGAGAAAUCAUAAAUUAAUCGGAUUUAAGCAGCUCAGUAGCUUAUUUUUAUGUGCCCCCUACGGAAACCCGGGAACCUCUGCUCCUGCUUCUACUAUCUCUUCUCUGUUGUUUAAUGAAAGAGGGAUGCGACUGGGAAUCGUGUACCGCAUCUUUGAUGAGCAGUGGCAGCGUUUAAAGCCACCAAUUUGCUGGCUCCUCAGAUGGGAUGUCGAUGAGGAGGAGGAGCCCGAUGAAGGACUUCUUCUGCUGAAGAGCUAGAGAAGUUGACAUGAUUGGAUACUGAUGAUGACUGAGUUGAUGAUUUGUUGUCAAGGUGCACGCUCCUCAGCCCCCGGCCCCGCACCGAAUGGCAGUUAGAGCAUCGACUUGAGUCGAGAGUGGAGUUCCGCUGCAUAGGACUCGGUGUCCUGGCAACGCAGGAGCUCAUUACGAGGAAAGUUUUUACGCAGGAGCAGCGGCAUUCCUUCCUUCCUUCCGAAGGAUGCGGCUUAAGUGCGCCAUUCUAAAUUCAAUUGAGCUUGAAGUGUUCCAAAAACGAUGGCAGGCCACGAGGAGUCGAGGUGGAUUCUGCCCCUGACAGGUCAACCAGGAUAGGGGAUAGUUCAGGGAGGGUCCCGGCGCAGCGCGAUUCAUGAGCAGACAAACCAAACAAUCCCCAACGAUUGGUGGGAAUGGGACGGCGACUUGGAGCCGUGUAAUCCAUAAAUAUUUCCAUUUCAAAUUGUUCAAAUUGCAUUGCUUUUAUGCUUUGUGAUUUUCGCAUAAAUCUCUCUCUUGACUGAUGCACUUUUUGGCCAACAUUGUUCGCGGCCUGGCCUUCGUUCUCGUUGGCUAAUUGACAGGGACGGACGGCUGCCGAUUCUGUGGAUGUGGAUGCCACUAAUUGGGACAGGACAGGACGUUGCGUCAGGCGUCGCGGAGUGUCUGAUUUUUAUUGAUGGAUGACAUGCAACAAACCAAUUUAAAUGCAAGUCCAUUUUAGUACUAGUGCUCAUAUACAUAUUUAGUUUUUUAAGUACUUACAGAUCUUUGUGCGGGUAGUGGGAGUGAGAGUGCGGCAUUGACACCGAAAACAGCUGUUAAAAUAGAAAACUGCCCAUCUAGCACGUGCCACGCCUACUAGC